GACGAACGCUGGCGGCGUGCUUAACGCAUGCAAGUCGAACGAUGAACCCGGAGCUUGCUCCGGCGGAUUAGUGGCGAACGGGUGAGUAACACGUGAGUAACCUGCCCUUGACUCUGGGAUAACUGCUAGAAAUGGUAGCUAAUACCGGAUACGACCCUCGGUGGCAUCACCAGGGGGUGGAAAGAAUUUCGGUCAAGGAUGGACUCGCGGCCUAUCAGCUAGUUGGUGAGGUAACGGCUCACCAAGGCGGCGACGGGUAGCCGGCCUGAGAGGGUGACCGGCCACACUGGGACUGAGACACGGCCCAGACUCCUACGGGAGGCAGCAGUGGGGAAUAUUGCACAAUGGGCGCAAGCCUGAUCCAGCCAUGCCGCGUGAGUGAUGAAGGCCUUAGGGUUGUAAAGCUCUUUCAUCCGGGACGAUAAUGACGGUACCGGAAGAAGAAGCCCCGGCUAACUUCGUGCCAGCAGCCGCAGUAA
rnacentral:rRNA from 1 species